rnacentral:rRNA from 1 species
AGUGAACGCUGGCGGCGUGCCUAACACAUGCAAGUCGAACGGAGAUUCAGUAGCUUGCUCUUUAAUCUUAGUGGCGCACGGGUGAGUAAUAUAUAUCUAACUUGCCCAUUACUAAGGGACAACAGUUGGAAACGACUGCUAAUACCUUAUACUCCGUAUCUAUAUAAGUAGAUACGGGGAAGUUUUUCGGUAAUGGAUAGGGCUAUAUCGUAUCAGCUAGUUGGUAAGGUAAUGGCUUACCAAGGCGAUGACGCGUAACUGGUGAGAGAGGAAGAGCAGUCGCCCUCGAAGUGAGACACGAUCCGGGAAUCUUCGAGAGUGGGCGGAAGGGUGUAUUACUCAUUGCGGGAAAGUGAAGAAGGGCUUCGGCGCGUAAAGCACGACACUUUGGGAAGAAUAGAAUCCUUUUAUUACGAAGGAGUUAUGACGGUACCCAAAGAAUAAGCACCGGCUAACUUCGUG